ensembl:misc_RNA Metazoa_SRP Metazoan signal recognition particle RNA
GCUGGGUGUGGUGGCGGGUGCCUGUAAUCCCAGCUACUCAGGAGGCUGAGGCAGAAGAAUUGCUUGAGCCCAGGAGGCAGAGAUUGCAGUGAACCGAGAUUGGGCCACUGCAUUCCAGCCUGGGCAACAGAGCAAGACUCUGUCUA